rnacentral:tRNA from 1 species
UAACCUGUGAUGUAACGGCAGCAUACUAGACUUUGACUCUGGCGGUAUAGGUUCGAAUCCUAUCAGGUUAU